UACGAGUGCCCCAAGCGUUAUCCGGAAUCAUUGGGCGUAAAGGGUGUGUAGGCGGUUGUGUUAGUCUCUUGUUAAAUUCUUCGGCUUAACCGGGGGCAUGCAAGGGAAACGGCACAACUAGAGGAUGCGAGAGGUAUAUGGAACUCAUGGAGUAGGGGUGAAAUCCGUUGAUAUCAUGGGGAACACCAAAUGCGAAGGCAAUAUACUGGCGCACUCCUGACGCUGAGACACGAAAGCGUAGGUAGCGAAUGGG
rnacentral:rRNA from 1 species